UCACAAUGUACUCUAUACAAAUACUUACAGGUCUCGGGACGACAAAUCCUGAAAAGAGAUUCCAAAUUGCAUAAAAUGCAGCAGCCACAAUAGAAGCAACAUGGUGAUUUGGUGUCACUGCCACAGCCAUCAUACCAUAGAAGGUGAAGUAGAGCAAUGUGAAGUACAUGAAGAAUAGAUACCACAAGAAUUUCUCUGCGGUCCAGUCAAAUCCAAUCAUGGCAUAGACUAUAACUCCAUAUAUCACCGCUUGAGCAAAGACAUAAGGUAGCUCUACCAAAAUCUGCGACAAAAAGGGUGUUGUUAAUAUUAGAUUUUCAAGUUUUCAAACUCAAUUAAGUAAUAAUCAUUUCAGCAGCGUAAACAACAAUAAUAGUUACCUGUGAAAAUGCAUAUGGUAAGGCAGAAUACAUUCCAGCAGCCUUUUCUCGAUAAAAUACAGUCCUUUCAACUGCAACCACCGGCUGCACAGAAGAAGAAUUUUGUACUCCAAGGAAGAGAACAGCGGUAUACAUUGAACCAACAGCGUUCAACAGGUCUUGUCUACUUGAGCUGCAAGUCACCAAAAGGAAUUAGAAUUACAGUGUAGAUAAAUAGAGAGACGGCAAUAUAAUAUUUGGCGAAUAAUAUGAACUUAAUUUUUAACUAUAAAUAGUUUAACUUACUGUUUUCCACCGAGGUCCCAGAACAUUGUUCCAAACAUCAAGCCUAUGAAGGUAGUGAAGAAAAACCUCACAGCAGUGUAUGGUGGAUUACGCCAAUAUGACCAACGUUGUUUCCAUAAGCAGGCCUGGCAUUGAACCAAGAAAGACUGCGAGAAUUGAGUAGGGAAAUGAAGAUCCUUUGAACCAGGAGCAGGCACGCUAAGUUCUUGAAUAAGUUGCUUGUUUCUCCUGAAGAGUCGAACCAAACAAUUUAAGCAUGUUGCAAAUCAAGAAAACAAACAUGGCACCAAUAGCUACUAUAGUUUAUAGAUUCAUAUCCAUAUCCAUAUGCAUUAGUUUACCUAUAUAAAUCUGAAUUUUUGUACAAAUCGGUAAAGUCAACACCCAAAUUAAGUUCUUGUGCUGUAGUUGUAACUUCCAACAUCCAUGUUGCUGGGUUAUAUCCAUCUUUGAUUUUACUAACUCCGUCAAUGCUCUGGACAAUGAAAGUUAUUUGAAAACUUCAGUAACCAGUUACAAUCAAGAAAGAGAGUCAUUCACUUAAGGUAAUAUUAAACUAAAGUAGGAUCCUACCUCGAAAUACUUGAUCAAAUGAGUAGAAUGACGACCCAGUGGUCCAACAUAUAUUUCUUGUCCUCCACGCUUCAUAAGGAAUAGCUAGAAGUGCAUAUGGAUAAUGUCAGAUUCAAGUCUAAUGAAGAGGAAAAGAACUAUAAAAGGAAGCUUCAUUUGUCAUUGAUAUUUAUUAUGAUUAUUCACUACAUACCUCAUCAAAUGCUUCAAAUAUGUCAAUGCUAGGUUGAUGGAUGGUACACACAACUGUUCUUCCCGUGUCCACUGUGUUCCUUACAGUUCGCAUAACAAUUGCAGCCGCUCUAGCAUCUAAACCAGAAGUAGGCUCAUCCAUGAAAAUUAUAGAUGGAUUAGCCACAAGUUCGACUGCAAUAGUCAGUCUCUUGCGCUGUUCAGUUGAGAGACCACUCACACCAGGCAAACCAACUAGAGAGUUCCUCAACGAGUUCAGCUCCACUAGAUCCAUGACUUCAUCAAUAAACAUCUGCAACCAUUUGUAAUGUUCAUUAAGUAAGGUCAACAAAUGUAAACAAAGCCACGCCGAAUAAAGCACGUGCUAACUAACCUUUCUGGUGUUGGAAUCAACUCCUGAAGGUAAACGAAGCCACGCCGAAUAAAGCAAAGACUCAUAAACUGUAACAUGCGGUGAAUGGAUAUCAUUCUGCUCACAGUAGCCAGAAAUUCUAGCAAAUGUUUCUUGCUUUUUAGGGUACCCAGAAACCUUGAUGUCUCCAUCAAUAUAUCCACCUGUUUUCCUACCAGCCAGAACAUCCAUCAGAGUUGUUUUACCAGCUCCACUUACACCCAUCAAAGCUGUGAGAACACCGGGCCUGAAUGCACCACUAACACCCUUCAAAAGCACUAAUCUGUCUUCUCUAACACCUUGCUCCUUCAUUUCCUGCCAGUUGAAAUAAAAGUCAUGUGAGAAAAGUUAUUAUUGUUUGAGAAAAUAUGAAUUGUUAAAGAUAUCUAAAAGCCGAACGUAUCAGUUUGUGCGAAUCUUACCACUGGCAUAUCAACAGAGUAUACAAUAUCAUCAAAAGUGAUAGAAUGUGGUUCAAAUGGAAGAACCAUUCCCUUUUUCUUUCCAUGGCUGGACUCUGUAACAGAAUCAGCUCUUCCUGAACUUUCUGAAAGACAAUAAGAAAAAUGUUCAGCUACUAAACUAUAUGAUAAACUACAAUAUGUUUGCCUUCAUGAGUGAUAUCUGAUAUGCAUAUAAUCAGGAAAGCUCACCAAUACGUGGUAAUUCAACUUCUUGUACGGUAGAUGAAUCAUCUUCUGAAUCUUCAGUUAUUGUUGCACUAGGCUUAUCAAAUGGGCCUAGUACAGCGAGAGCCACACCAAACGCCACGUUGAAAAGAAAGACAAAUCCAACCAAUCCCCCAACGCCUAUCCAAUACCAAUAUGCAUGUGGGAAGAACCCUCGGGUAUCGAGAUAAUCUUUUCCCAAAUCAGCAGUAGCCUAUAAUUAAGUAUAUAAAAUAAAUUAGGCUUGCAAAUUUCUCAAACAAAAGUAGAUGAAUUAUGAAGUUGCAAGCAAGCUCAAGUAAUUAAUUACAUUGUGCCAACUGUGCCCAAGAAAUUCAUUGGCCAUCAAAGCAUUCUGCCCAUACAUCAAAGGUGAGAUCCAGUAACCCCAAAUCCACCAGCCUUUGAUAUCCUCUGUUACAAUAGCAAUAAAAUGUAAGAAACAUUAAUUAGCUAAGGUUUCAUUUCCUUACAAAAAAUUAAAUUUAAUAAGAUUUUUAUCAUUUUUUGUUAAAAUUAAAUGUGUUAGUCAAUUUAACUUACUUCUUGAGAGAAUGAAGCCACCCAAUGACAGAAAUGUGAGAAGUGCAAAGGACCCAAAUGUAUUGGCAACAAUCAUGUUUCUACCCAGGGAUGCGAUGGCUCGGAACAAUCCUGAAGCCAUCUGACUCAUGAAAAACAACACAACGAACUGCUUGAACAUCCUGCCAAAAAUUCAAGACCUCACAUCAUAAGUAACACACAAAUGCAAACUAGAUAGUAGAAGUGACGUUCAAUACUACAUUCUCCAAACAGAAUAAAAGAAACUUCUUUUACCUUCCAACAUUUGGAUCAAAUCCAAUAACAUAGUAGGUAAGAAACACCCAAAGAGAAACUUCCAUUAAUGAAACGGGAAUCUUGAGAAUCCACGAAGGAAUAGCAUAUGCCCAUGAGGGAUAAAAUAGAAGGUCUCGUUGCUUGUAGUAAACAGGAAGCUUAGCAAUGGUCAUAGAAAUCUCAGACAUUCCAUUAAACAUCAUCGUUACUAGUGUGAAAAACAAAGCACCGGCAUAAACACCCGCAUCAUCCUGAUCAUUGCGAUGCAUCUCAGUCCGAAAAAACAGUGUCAUUGCUAUCAAUGCCAUGAUGAAAAGCUGAAAAACAAAGCAUGAAGAGUAAACAGUUAUGUCACAGAAAAUCAUGGUCAUGAAUGUAUAAAUGAAAAAGAAUUUCUAUUUCACUUAUAUAAAAGAGCGGGAUAGAUUCCAAACCUGAGUUAGCUUGAAGAUGUAAACAAACGAAUUCCUUUUCAUGAGCAAAUACUCUCUUGAGAAGUUAGCCUUUAAAAGCUCCGUCUUGUUGAGACCAUACUCUUUGGUGGUCAAAGCAGCUGGAUGGCUCUUCGUCUUGUCAAAUGGUACGGAAAGCUCCUCAGCAAGUUUCCUACCAAUAUGGAAGGAUUGAAACGCCUCAGCGAAUUGAGUAACAGUUACAAAUCUGUAUGGUUGAUCUCUGCGCACCCAGUACUGUGCUUGAUCCUUUUUGGAAGUUACUUCUUGAAGAAAGUCAGCAGCACCUUUCCUUUCAGGACAUUUGAAACCCAUUGUUUCAAAAAAGUCAAGAACAUAUUCGCGGGGGCCAUGGUAUACAACUUGGCCAUCAGAAAUUAAGAUAAUGUCAUCAAAAAGAUCAUAAGUCUCAGGUGCUGGUUGGAGCAGUGAUAUAACUGCAGUGCCAUUCAUAAUGUGAACAUAUUGUCUCAGAGAGCUCACAAUCUGAAAAGUAGUGGAACUGUCCAGCCCAGUAGAAAUUUCAUCCAUGAACAAUGCAUUGGCUGGUCCAACCAACAUCUCUCCUGUAGUUACACGCUUCCUCUGUCCUCCAGAGAUACCACGUAACAUUUCAUCUCCCACCAUGGUAUCCGCGCAUAUAUCCAACCCCAAAAUCUACAAAAUUAUACAAUAUAAAACUUAAUACCGUUGGCUUGUAAAAAAUUCAACAUACAACAUGAAACAUAACUUUAUUAUGGCAUGCAAGACAUGAUAAAGCCCAUGCAAGGACAAUGUAAAUUGGGAGUAACCAAUAAAAAAUGCAAUGAGUUUAAUUUUGAUACAUUGUCAAUUAAAAAGUUUUAUACUGUCAACUAAUCACUUUAUUAGUACUUAUGAAUAAAGUCGGACGUUUUUAUUGAACUGGCGAUUAUGAGAGGCUAAGUAUAAUAAUUGAACUAUAUUUAAGUCUUACCUUGAGUACAUAAUCUGUUGAAAUGCUAUACUCCUGACCUUCAGUUGCAAUUGCCUGUUAUAUCAAAAUAAAAUUAGAGAUGCAAAGAUAGUAUAGUAUAUCAAUUACUAUACCAUUACCGAUAUUGAUUGAUAAUAGCUUAUUUAAUGCAUACCUUCAUGUAGACAUCAAUAUCUGGGUCAGGCUUAAUGUUUGCUGCCUUCUCUCUUCUAGAAAGCUCGGAUAGCAUGUCUGUUGGAUCCCAAAAAUAAUUAACAAGUUAAGCUUUAGCCACAUUUCAAAUUAGAUUUUAAAAAACAUUAACUAGGUAGUAAAAAUAGACUAACCAUAACGUGAUCCAACUCCUUGGCACCUUGCUGAGAAAGCCAAGGUUUCCCUCACAGUCAUUUCUCCAAUAUGAACAUCAUGUUGGCUUAUAUAGGCAGCAGUUCUUUGAGGUACAAACUCAUUCAGUCCAUGGCCAUUGUAAGUCACACUCCCAGUUAGCUGUACAAAUUAAGCAUUCGGCAUCCAAGUUAGAUAAUUUUAGAUAUAAAGUUUACCACCUUUGAUCUACAAGUGAGUUAUAUGAUUUUAUUUACCUGGAGACUUGGAUCAAGCUUUCCAGAUAAGGCUAAAAGAAGUGUGGUCUUUCCUGAACCAGGAGGACCUAAAAGUAGUGUCAUCCUACGAGGUUUAACGAUUCCGCUAACAUCUUUAAGAAUUGACACAUGCCUCUUUUUGGUUGGGAUGAUAUGAAGAAAAUUCAAUACCCCCUGAAAAAAAAAGAUAUAUAUAUAUAUAUAUAUAUAUUUUUAUUUGGGAGACUCAACUGCAAAAAUAAAAAAAAUAGAAAUAGAAAAAGCCUUCAGCAUCAAUUUUCAGGUUCUGAUAUCUAUCCCUACCUCUACAACAUUAGUAGCAGCAUUAAUGAAACUAGGCAAAGCUCUACUUCCCACAAACGCUUCAGCAUCAAUUUUCAGGUUCUGGUAUCGAACUUCAAUUGUUGGAAUAUCAAGUCCAACUCUAUAAUGAGAAGAAAAAACACAAAACAUGUUGAGUUAUGAGAGAAAUAAGAUCAAAAGAAAACAAUGAAGCAAAAAAAGUACAUUUUCUAUAAUAGUUACCUAUCAACUCUUUCCUUGACCUUCAACAGAAACCUUUCAUUAUCCUCUUCAGCAACCUUAACCAACCUCUCCAAAAGUUUCUGCUUUUCUUGAAAAGCAAGAUCACCAACAUCAACUUCAUGAGCACCUCCAUGAGAAGCUGUCAACAAACCUUUUCUUAGACGAUUAUAAGUAGGUAGCUUUUCAAGUGCAGCCCAUUUGAGAGCUUCUUCAUCAUCUUCUUCUCGAGAUGAUUUAGAGAAAACCUCAACUCCACUCUGUCUCCAAACAGUUGAACUUCUUGCUCUUAAACUAUUAGUAGCUCUGUAUAUAUCAGUCCCUUCCAUUUUUGCUGUUAUGAAACAGCUUUAACACAAGCUUGUGUGUUUCUGAUUUUUCUUUUUAAGACAAUGUUAUUAUGAAUUGAACCCAAACAAUAAACUAAAUGAAGUGUAGAAUAUAAUGAAAGAAUGAAAGAAUGAUGAAUGGAAAAAAACUUGUUGUAUUGAUGUUUCUUUGUGGAAAAGGAAAUGAAUAUGGAAUGAGAAAACAUGUUUGUAUAUAUACUACCUUUGAUUCCAAAGAAGUGGCGGCAAUGGAGAGUCAAACGUUGAAAUUUACGUGUUUUUUAGAAGGGACAGGAGAGAAAUAUAUGUCAAAUGGUCAAAUAAUGAAGGAGGACUAGACUAGGCAUCUUGGUUGGUCAUCAUGAGGAAACUUCGUCCUACAUGACAUGUUAAGGUGUCUAACUUGUUGUGGGCCCUAUUCAGAGUAAAGUGCACGGCCUUCUCGAACAAAGUAGGUUCUAAACAUUAAAUCAAACUAUUAUGUGAUCACAUUCUUCAAAAUCAAUUCAUAAAACAUCUGCAAUAUCUAUUUUACAUUAAUGAUUACAUGCAUUUUUUUUUGGUAGAAAAGUUUUAUACUUUCGCUACAUAAAAAUUAAUCUUUGCAAAUAAUUCAAAAAAUGAAAUCAGGGCAAUAUAUUUUUCAUAGAUAUUAUAGGACUAAAACAAGUCGGCUUAAGCCAUAUUAUACAACGAAAAAUAAUAGAGAAAUAAAUACUACUAAUAAGAAUCAAAUCAAAGAAAAAACAAGAGAAUACCAUUCCAAUAAAAAAAACGGUAGUUAGGAAUCAACUAUAAUUAUCUCAGCAGCGACGUCAUUUCUUUUCAUGUUUCAAAAAACAUAAUGUUUGAAAAGUUGGAAUUUCACAUGUUUACUGUUUUAUAGUCCUCACUUCCAAAAUAUUGACAACUAGAACAAUCAUAACCUUGACAUUUAACUCGUGUAUAUUUUUUUUGCUCCAAACAUAACUUUUUUUUUCCAACCAAGUUUAACGGUUUUUUCUUGUGUGUAAAGUUUCACGGUUUUAUUGACCGAAAAAAAAAAAAAUCAGUAAUUUGAUCAUUUAUUUUGAUGGUCUAUUUAUAGACAAAAUACACUAUUAGAAGUGUGCUUAUGGUAAAUCACCCUUUUAUUAAUAAUAGUUUAGUAAAAGUGUUAUAUCUAAUGAUUAUUUCAUUCCAUUUUUUAAUCCGUGUGCAAAUUGGCUAAAGCGACAUUCAUUUUAAAACGGAGGGAGUAAUAUUUUUACGGGAGAGAGAGAGAGAGAAAAAAAAAAAUUAGUUGAAUUGACGUAUGUAUCACAGUUGCGUUGACCAAUGUCAUGUAACAUUCAUGCAUUUAUGGUACACAAAUGGAAUCCGUCGGUUAUAGAGUAAAUAAGAAAAUUCAUUUGAAAUUCCAAAAAAGGAAAAAAAAAAUCUUUCUUGAAAUCGUUAGAUGUUAAGCAACUUGUCUUCCGUAAGUUUUUUCUAUAUGUACGUGAAAGUUUAUUGUCUACGUGAUAUGACAUGUCAUGUCAGUCACAUUGGCAAUUUGAUUAGUUUUUUUUUUUUUAAUUUGAUUUUUUUUUAAAGAUUACGAGCAAAUUCUCUCUUGAAAUGGUAUACUUAUAUGCAAAAUUUGUCCUUUUGGUGACUCGAUUCGACUUGAGUGUAGAACUAAAAAAAUACAACUCUCUCCACGUAAAAGACCUCUCGUUCUUUCGGUAAAUGAUAAAAAAAGAAACUCACUCUAAAACUUUUUUUUCUUAACAUAGUUAGCUUGAUUGAUAUUUCAUUACUUUGUUUUCCCUGUAAAUUGAUAAUCAUCUUUGAAACAUGUCAGAUAUUAAAUAUGAAUAUCUCUCUUAUUUUAUAUUUAAACUUUGGUUCACUAUGUUGUAAAAGUCUAACUUCUCCACUAAAUCCAACCCACUCAUUCAAUAUAGUUACUCUAAUGCUUAACAUCACUAUGAGAAAUCACAUUCAAAAGCAUUUGUAUAAUUUCAAUAUUUGCUGCUUAUACCGCCAAAAUAUUUGUUUACUUUAAAAAAAUAUGUUGAUAGAUUUUAAUUGGUGGCUGAUGUAUGAUACAAUUCUUAGAAUGAAUCAAUGUUUGGUAUGUAUCAUAAGUUUAAGAUAACAAAAUCCUCUAAAUUAACAAAUUACCCUAUGAAAUUGAAGUUUGUUAAUCUAUUUAGCCUCUCUUAGGAUCAAUUUCGAAGAAUCUAAAUGACAAAAUCCUUUACUCUUUAAUCUUAUUAGGUUUGCAACAACUAAACCUAGAAAAUUCCCUCCAAAUGAUUCACAUUAAUUGCUAAGUGCUAACCCUAAUUAUGUAUUUUCUUCCAACACUUCUUCAAUUUGAAAUUCAAAAAAUUUUGUUAGGAACCAUGAACUGCAUUAAAUUACAUUUAUUGCUAUAUCCCUUGAAAAAUACGGAGCUCUUCAACCGAGCGCACAUCUUCAAAAUAAUUAAUACACUGUAUAAGAUCUCUUCUAUUAUUAAAUUCUAUGAUAUAUGCAGAUAUGAUAUGUAUUUGGUUGGAAAAAUAUAUUAUUACUUUUAGUAAAUAUCAAAGUGUAAUUAUUCCUUUUAGAGCUGUAUGUGUAGUUUAGAAAUUCUAUUAAUUGAAGUGACUUUGUUUUUCAUGUUAGUAGAAAUUUAAAACAAUUAUUACAUGUCAAUUUUUUGUUUAACUAUAAAAGUAAUAAAAUAAAUAAAAUUGACCCGUGCAACAAUAUAAUAUUGUAUCUUUUUUAUUUAUAAUUUAAAAAAUAACGUGAAGAUAAUGCCCCAAUAAUAUAUUGUGAUAAAAUAAAAUAACAGUCUUUAAUUAAUUAGCUUUUCAGAACUAAGAUGUAAAAUUUGAUAAGAUUCAAGUGUCAUUGAAGGACAUAGUAAGAAAAAUUUGAUUGUAAUAUUGUAUCUCUAAUAAUCUAAUUUGCGUUUAUUGAUCGAUAUCUUACGGGUUAAAGAUUAUUCAUUUGUCUCUAUUAUAGCCGACAAGACCCGUGCGUCGCACGGGUCAAAAGUCUAGUAAAUAUAAAUGAAAGUACUUAUAAAAUUUCUUGAAAUAAUAUAGUACUUUAAUUGAAGAUGUCCUUAACAUGUUAACUAAAUGAAAGUACAUUAUAAACCAAUCAUAAAUUGUUAUAUCGUUAAGUUUGAUUUUAGUCAAAACUACCUUAGAAUCAUGCAUUAUAUGAUUUAUACUGUUUUUAAGGGAUUUACAAUUAUUAGUUGACUAUGAAAGAAAAUUUACACAAAGCACAAUUUAUCAAAAAAAAAAAAAAUUUGAGAAAGAAGCACAGAGUAUCAAAAUUAAACUCUAAAUAUUUGUACCAAAAAGAAAAAAACUCUAUAAAUAUAACAUUUUGUCUCCUUAAAAAAAACAUUGUCAAAAGAAGAAUGCUAGCAACACUAUUUUUUUAGCACUCUAUUUAAUACUUACUUUAUCAUUGGAUGAAAUCAAUGUGGACUCCACUAUUUAUAUGGAAUCCAUUUCCAAAAUGUAGGAUCACAUUGAUUUCAUAUAAUGAAUUGUGAAUAUGGGGUGGCUUUAUGCUAAGUUACAAUAACAUUUCUUUGUUAGAAUAACAUCUUAGAUAGAAAAUAAUCAAGAAGUGAAGAAACAAAGGGAUAUACAAACAAUAUUUGGUAACACCUUGUAAUUCCUUUUUUUUUUUUUAUUAUUUCCAGUUUAGGGUUUACAUACACCUUGUAUUUAAAUAGCACGGUUCACAUUAUAUUAUCCCCUUCCCACUUAAAACAAUUCGUUUCGCUUAACUAUGAGUCAUACAACUUUUGCAUAACAUAAUAAGACUAGUAAAGCAACAUGAAGAAAACCAAAAUGCGCCAGUCCAAAAGUUACACAGCUCUUCAUUACAAAACAAUUAUGUAUAUGCACCAAAUUUGAAGAGGCUGAAUUUAAUAUUCCAGCCUUGUCACACAGGACAUAUUUGACAGUUGAUGCAAAUAACUUCUUGUAUGCAAAUUCAGUAUUAAGUUGAACAAUAUCAAUUAUCAAAGGAACUUAGAAUUAAGAACUCAAAAAUGAGCAUAAAAGGCUGGUCUAAAAAAAUACACUAUCUUUCAUUGAUGAUCAAAAUGAUAAUACAAAAUUAUUGUCUUAUUCAAAUUCAAAUGCUUGUACAUUUAUAAAGGAAGCUUUAAAUUGUGUCAAACAAAGGGGAAAUAAAUUUCCUAAGAAACUAAGGCAUGGGAUAUAGAUACAGGUAUUAUACAAGCUAGGAAAAAUUGGGGAGGGAAAAUAAAAAAUAAAAAGAAUCUUUCUUGUUGGAGAAAGAGUGCAAACUAUCUCUUUUGGAAGUUAAAGGACUUGAUUGCAACAGCGAAAAUAAAGGCAAAGCCCACGGCAAUUCCACCGACCACAAGUGCACACCAUCCUAUGAAGUCGUGUUGGAUACCAAAAAAGUCGUCAAGGAAAGUCUUUACAUCUUUUCCGCCUUCGGUCGACAUAACAGUAGUUAUAUCUCCAAAUUGAGAUGCAACCAAUCCAUAGAUGGUCCAUGCAACUGGACAUGCCCAAUAGUACCAUCUCCACCAUAUUGGAAUGCUCUGUUAUCAAAAGGCAAGAAAAUGGUUAGGAUACAUAUAACAUACAUCCAUUGAAACAGUCUUUCACAAUGUACUAUAUACUAAUACUUACAGGUCUUGGGACGACAAAUCCUGAAAAGAGAUUCCAAAUUGCAUAAAAUGCAGCAGCCACAAUAGAAGCAACAUGGUGAUUUGGUGUCACUGCCACAGCCAUCAUACCAUAGAAGGUGAAGUAGAGCAAUGUGAAGUACAUGAAGAAUAGAUACCACAAGAAUUUCUCUGCAGUCCAGUCAAAUCCGAUCAUGGCAUAGACUAUAGCUCCAUAUGUCACGGCUUGGGCAAAGACAUAAGGCAACUCUACCAAAAUCUGU
rnacentral:lncRNA from 1 species